UACGGAGGGUGCGAGCGUUAAUCGGAAUUACUGGGCGUAAAGGGUGCGUAGGCGGGUCUUUAAGUCAGGGGUGAAAUCCUGGAGCUCAACUCCAGAACUGCCUUUGAUACUGAGGAUCUUGAGUUCGGGAGAGGUGAGUGGAACUGCGAGUGUAGAGGUGAAAUUCGUAGAUAUUCGCAAGAACACCAGUGGCGAAGGCGGCUCACUGGCCCGAUACUGACGCUGAGGCACGAAAGCGUGGGGAGCAAACAGG
rnacentral:rRNA from 1 species